CAAGUUAUGUCGGCGAAUCACUUGGCUCAUGGGUCGAUGAAGAACGCAGUGAAUUGCGUUAAUAAGCACGAAUUACAGAUAUUAUGAGUGCCUUGUUUUCGAUUGCAUAUUGCGUCGUCGGGUUUUGCCCUUCGACAUACACGACUCAGGGUGUUUU
rnacentral:rRNA from 1 species